UGUUCCAAACAGCUACCUCAGGAGGGAGCUGCAACUGCUCAGGAUUCUGCUCUAAUUUCAGUCACAGCUAUCGACUACAGACUCCGUCACCUGUCACCUUCUCGACCUGCUCCUGUUUGUCCGUACCACCCUGUUGCCUGUCAGCACUCCUGAUACAUAAUUACCCUUCAUGUGAUCUGCCCGUCGUGUCCUUUCACGACAGGAGGGUCAGACUUUGACAACCUGCUGGACGACUUCCUCCAGCUGCAUGCCAAGGUCUUUGACCUUAUCAUCCACCUCACUGGUUCCGGAAGAAUCCUUUCCGCCCCCUGUGGCUACCAAAGCCCCGACCGAUAUGCAGAACACAGCAGCAGACCAUCUCCAGCCUCAGACUAACAGCCAAGCGCCACAACCAGUUAGAAGUGAUCCCAGAAGAGCGCCCUAGUGGCUCAAACUGCCAGCCAUUGCAGAAGAUCCAACAGUCAUGGAUAUGGGUGUAUUAUGAUCACUUGUCAUAGGCAUGACCCUAGUUUUGGCCCCGAGAAGAAAAGGGCUUUGAGAUGACAGAAAGUUGGAGAGAUGGGAGAAGCUGUGUCAUUCUAACAGAAAAAACAACCACAGACUAGUGAGUCAGGAAUUAUGAAGCGAAAUCUGACAUAAUCCUAACAGACCCUCACAGGGACUCUCAAGACCGAUGCAGACAACUCCACCCCAGACGUCACCCUAAACCAUGGUUACUGUUAGACGAAACCUUAUCAGUCUCGGGAACAGACUCACAGCCAAAAAAAUGGACAGGUAUUCUCCAAAUUUAUACAUGCCUUUAGUUUUAUUUUAUCAUAAAUGAUCAUCCUGGCAAUUGCUGGUGCUUCCAUAAAAUCAGUAUUGAUAUUGAUGGCUACAAUCAGGCAGAUAUCUUCAAGUGAUGAGGGCCUUCUCCCAUGUGCAGCGCUGUCCAAAGACCAGCCAGAAGGCUGGAGACAGAUCAGUCUGUUCCUCCUGGGAAAAGCUUCUCACUCCAGAGCGUCUCGACUGGCUGUCGACACUCCCUGCCUUUAAUGUAUGAUCAAGAAAAGCUUUAACUCAUUACUCUCUUCAGUGCCCCUCCCCAUUCUUGUCCUAACUGCUUUCAAAUGUUUAAUAAUACUGCCUUCAGAUGUAAUUUGUUCCACUAAGAUGCAUACAGAGAAAAGUUGUACAGUAGUUCACUACUUCAGGACAGACCUUCCAACAACUCAUUGUGGAAAAGAAGAGAGAACCAACAGUCAUUUUUAUUUAAUCUGCAAGGAUUGACAGCUGGAGAUCCAUUUUAUCGCUAAUAAACCUCCAGAAAGGCCACAGUAUACAAAAAUACACCUUUUACUAAUUUGUUUCUUACCGUGGUAAUAAGUAAGGAUGUAUUGUACUCUUUUAGCAAGAUUAUUU